rnacentral:rRNA from 1 species
UACGUAGGGGGCUAGCGUUGUCCGGAUUUACUGGGCGUAAAGAGCGCGCAGGCGGUCGUUCAAGUCGAGUGUGAAAGCCCCCGGCUCAACUGGGGAGGGUCACUCGAUACUGAUCGACUCGAAGGCAGGAGAGGGAAGCGGAAUUCCCGGUGUAGUGGUGAAAUGCGUAGAUAUCGGGAGGAACACCAGUGGCGAAGGCGGCUUUCUGGCCUGUUCUUGACGCUGAGGCGCGAAAGCUAGGGUAGCAAACGGG